rfam:Triticum aestivum genome assembly, contig: Triticum_aestivum_CS42_TGACv1_scaffold_291448_4AL
CUACUACUCCCUCCGUCCGAGAAUAGUUGUCAUCAAAAUAGAUAAAAAGAGAUGUAUCUAGAACUAAAAUACAUCUAAAUACAUCCCCUUUUAUCUAUUUUGAUGACAAGUAUUUUCGAACGGAGGGAGUACUAU